rnacentral:misc_RNA from 1 species
GAAAGCUAUAAAGCAAUAUCUUUCAUCAGCAGAAAAUAAUACAGCUUUGGAUGCCCUGUUAAGCAAAAUACGAUAAACUUGUACAGUGCGAGAAAAAAGAAGUUAAAAGAGAAGAUGAUGCAAACAGUUGAAAUAUAAAUACAACUUCAUGAGAGCAAGAAAGCCAAAGUUUCCUCACUAAAAUGCCAAAACACAGAUGCAAUAAUCAGAUAAACAAAGGGGAUCAAAAAAAGCAAACUGAAAGAGAGAGUAUCAUUUCAAAAAGUUAAACAUCCA